UACGUGUGGACCAAGCGUUGUUCGGAAUUACUGGGCUUAAAGGGUGCGUAGGUGGUUUGCUCAGUCAGUGGUGAAAGUCCAUCGCCCAACGGUGGAAUUGCCAUUGAUACUAGUAGACUUGAGUGUGUUAGGGGGUUGCGGAACGUUUGGUGUAGCGGUGAAAUGCGUAGAUAUCAAACGGAAGGCCAGAGGCGAAGGCGGCAACCUGGGACACAACUGACACUGAGGCACGAAAGCGUGGGGAGCAAACAGG
rnacentral:rRNA from 1 species